GACGAACGCUGGCGGCGUGCUUAACACAUGCAAGUCGAACGGAAAGGCCCUGCUUUUGUGGGGUGCUCGAGUGGCGAACGGGUGAGUAACACGUGAGUAACCUGCCCUUGACUUUGGGAUAACUUCAGGAAACUGGGGCUAAUACCGGAUAGGAGCUCCUGCUGCAUGGUGGGGGUUGGAAAGUUUCGGCGGUUGGGGAUGGACUCGCGGCUUAUCAGCUUGUUGGUGGGGUAGUGGCUUACCAAGGCUUUGACGGGUAGCCGGCCUGGGAGGGUGACCGGCCACAUUGGACUUGGGGAGCGGCCAGGACCCAACCGGGGGGAAGGGGUGGGAAAUAUUGCAAAAUGGGCGGAGGCAUGAGGCACGAACGCCGGGUCGGGAAGGCCGGCCUUCGGGUUAUAAACCGUUUUCGCCUGUGCCGAGGCGUGGUGACGGUAAAUGGUUAAGAAGCACCGGCUAACUACGUG
rnacentral:rRNA from 1 species